CCUACGGGAGGCAGCAGUGAGGAAUAUUGGUCAAUGGGCGCUAGCCUGAACCAGCCAAGUAGCGUGAAGGAUGACGGCCCUAUGUGUUGUAAACUUCUUUUAUAUGGGAAUAAAGUGCAGUAUGUAUACUGCUUUGCAUGUACCUUAUGAAUAAGGAUCGGCUAACUCCGUGCCAGCAGCCGCGGUAAUACGGAGGAUCCGAGCGUUAUCCGGAUUUAUUGGGUUUAAAGGGAGCGUAGGCGGGCUGUUAAGUCAGGUGUGAAAGUUUGCGGCUCAACCGUAAAAUUGCAGUUGAUACUGGCAGCCUUGAGUGCGGGAGAGGUAGGCGGAAUUCGUGGUGUAGCGGUGAAAUGCUUAGAUAUCACGAAGAACUCCGAUUGCGAAGGCAGCCUGCUGGACUGUAACUGACGCUGAGGCUCGAAAGUGUGGGUAUCAAACAGGAUUAGAUACCCUUGUAGUC
rnacentral:rRNA from 1 species